UUUAUUUUUCUCUUUCAUAAAUUUAUGAUGUUGCAUGUUAGGUAUUCUUCUGAGCAACUGUAUGGAUAUAUUUUUUUCUAUGAAAACAAAAUUUGGAAAGACAGGCAGUCUGUUGCGCAAAGCAAAACCGCAAUAUACACUUGCAAGGCUUGCAACCCUUUUUUUUUGCUAUUUCCUUGAUGCUGAUUUGUUUUUUCUACCUAAAUAGACUUUAAUUUUAUGACUUUGGUUCUCUAGAAAGGGAAAGAGAAUGCAAAUAAAGAUACCGAGAGAGAACUGAGUUGAGAUGACGUUGAACGUGGGAGAUGUAUGGCGAAGAAAGGUCACUAAUACACACAAUCUCAUUUACAUGAAGUCUGAGUUCGUCAUUCGGGGACACCCACUCUUAAAGAACAAAAUUUCAUUCAUUGAUCAGGUACCUACUACUUUCUUAAAAUGCAUUCACAAUCCUUUUGCAUACCUACACACAAUUACUCAAUCCCGCCUUCCAAGGAAACAAAAACAAAACUAAAUUGCAAAAAAAACCAACAAAAACAAAAAACCAACCCAAAUAUGUACAAGUAGGUACAUAAUUCUGGAAGUGAAAUUAAAAAUGGCGAUCGUAAAUAAAAAUCAAAAGUCCAAAUUGAAACACAAAUCGAACUAAUUUUUCUCUACUUCUCUAGUUUUACAUACAAACCUACAUAUGUAUAUAGAUAGGUAUCUAGAAAAAACGGUGGAAUUGGAACAACUUUUUGCAGUCUUUGAUUUUGAUCUGUCGUUCCAUUUACUGGUUUUGGUGUGAAAAUGAAACUAAUUGCUUUACCUUAGGCUUAGGUUACAUUUUUAUUUUUUUACACCAACAAAAACUCGCUUGGUCUCCAACAAGACAUCAAUAAAUCGGAGAAAAAAAAUCAUUAUGGAGUUUUAAAGAAAGUGAAAUUGAUAAUAAUACAUAAAUGAAUGUAGAUAUUUACAUAUUUAGGUUGGUAUGUACAUAUGUACUUACUAAAAAAAUUUAUGUUUCUCACUAUAAAUUGUCCGCGGAAAUUUAAUCCUGAAGAACGAAAGUAUUCAAUUUUGUUUUUUUUUUAUUGUAAGUCAACAGCGUAUUUAAUUUGGGGAAAAACUGACAAGUUCAUUCAAACUUAUUAAUUUGUCAUGUAGGUAAAAAAUAACUUAAGAAAAUAUAGUACAAAAAUUCAAGGAAAACUCUUCAUUAGACUAAUUUAUAAAAAAUCAAGUGGAACUUGAGAAUACGUUUAAAAACAAAAAGGAAACUAGAAAAAAGAUAAAAUCGAUUGAAGAAAUACUUUUUUUAAUUUACUCAAAAUUGGGUUUUAUUUAAUAUUUGAACAUACAUACAUAUAUGUAUGUAUAAAAUAUUCAUGUUGUUUUGUGCUAAUUUUUAAAUCAUGGAAAUUCAUUUAGAAUGACAUUAUUAUUUUCCAGUUGUCUUACUUUUUUUUCUUGUCGAUUCACUUAUUCAUUUAUAUUCUUUAAAACUACGAGUCAAUUUAUGUUAAAUGAGCAGUAACAAAAAUAUUUCUUAAUUUAUGUCCAUUGUUCAACGAUUAAAAACCGAGCAAAAAUGAAACUAUUAAAAUAUACCUAUGUACAUUUCUUUGAGCAAAAGUCGUUGAAUAAUACCCCUGCAAACCAAACCUCAGUAGUUUAGGGGAAAAUACAACCACCAACAAAGCUUAUUUUGAGGAUGUAUGUGUUUCCUUAUUUACCAAAAUCUCUCCCCUCCAAAAAUAGAAGUUUUGUUUCUCCUGAAAAAAUAAACUCUUCUUUGAUAAAUGGGAGGAAAAGAGUGCGAUGUAUGCAAUGCACAAAGUUUUGUCUCUUUUGUAAUGGCGGCUCGCGUUUGAUUUGACUUUUCCUACAUUUUAUAUUUUCUAGUGAAACUAGUAAAACCUUGAUAGCCACAGCCACAGCAACAUCAAAAAAAAUUUUCGCUGCUCCAUUUGAAGAAUAAAAAUAAAAACAAUUUAAUUUAAAAAAUAUAUAAUCUUCUCAGUGUUGAGUGUUAUUUGUGAAAACUAUUUUCUCUAAACAAUAUCUACCACACAAAUUCUUCGGCACGCCACAAAAAUUUAUUUCCACCAUCAAAAUGCACAGCCUCAGCCUUGUGCAUUUAGAAAAAAAAAGUAAUACAAAAAUGAUACAAAAACAACCACCAAUUGAUUUGGAAAAUAAAGUGGCGAUCAAUUCCAGACAUCAUUGACUGAGUUUACAGCAGCUUCAGCCUUGAGCAUUUAGAAAAAAACAAUCAAAACAAGAUACAAACACUACCACCAAAGUGCAGACUGCAGAGUAUUUUUUUCUUUUUCAUUUUUCUCAACUGGCCAGGCCACAGUCGCGUGCCCAAGGAUCUUUUUUUUAUGUAUUUUGCUUAAAAAAAAAAACUAUUUUGUGUUUUUCCAAUAAAAUAUUAAAUAAUAGUUGUUUAAAAGAAUUGUUUGUUUGUUUUGAAGAUUUUUUUAUUUUCAGAUGAAAUUAAAAUAUGGAUUUUAGCAGUACGAAUAUAAACCCAUGAAAGUGCUCAAAAUAAGUACUUUAAAAGUACAAGUUUCAGUGCUUUUUCUGUAGGUAAAAAAGUACUGGAAAAUGUACAUCAGAACCACUUCCAGAAGUGCUUCGCUGAUGCACUUUUGAAGUACAUUUGUCUGUACUAUUAAUGGAGGGGAAAUUUAUUUCAUCUUGCAUGCAAGAAAGAGAUAGCUGCUUCACGUAUUCUUAUAUACAGAAAGUAUAUAACUGAGUUUUUUCCCGAGCUCCUAUCUUUUUUCAGUGGAAAAGAAGUACUUCUUUUACGUACAUAUUUCACCGGUUUUUUCUGUAGUUCUGCGUUUGCUGGGUACCUGCAUUACUGAUGAAGUGAUGAUACCGAUAUCGAACCGAUACGAGAUGCGAUAAAUGCUGUUCAAUUCAGAAUGUUCUACCGAGGGGAACCGCAAACGAAUACGUAAAAAGCGUACUCAGUUUUAGGGAAAAUUGCGGAACGCAAAUUAUCCUCAUUCCAGAACACGCCCAUGUUUCGUUUCCUCCCGGUCCAAACUUAAAAAUUGUCAUUGCAGCCAACCUAAAAUAAAAAAACCAUUCAAUCAUUUCAUUCAGUCACAUUCAUUCCAUAUUCUCAUUCAAAGUUGUCGUCACUCAUGUCAGACACCACCUCACCACACACAAGCAAGAAAGUAGUACCUACUUGAAAUCAAAAGAAAAAAAAAAAAACAAAAACUUAAAACCACGAAUAAAACCAAAAUUGUAAUUAUUUGUUUGAAUCAAACUAAAGAAUAAAAUAAAUUAAACAAAUCAAACAAAGGAAAAGAAAAAUUCUUUUUAUUAAUUACAAAAGGAGAAAACAGAAUACAACUACGGCUACGCCCCAACAGAUGCAGUGUACGAUUUUGUUUUUGUUUCACAUUUCGUAUACCUAUCCAAAUUGGUAUUCUAAUUGGAAUGUAUCUACACUACACUCAAACACACUUUCACAUAUCUCACUCCCACAUGUCCAUAAAAAACAGGUACGAAAGAGAAAGAAACAGAAUUCUUAUUUACCCCUUUUGAUAUACAUACAAAAAAACAGAACAACAAAAUCGUAAAAUACAUAAAUGAUGAUACCGAACCGAUACGAGAUGCGAAAUAAUGCGCACACGACAAAUGCAAUGUACCAUUUUGUUUUCGUUUCGCAUUUCGUAUAUCCAAUCCAAAUUGGUAUUGGAAUUGGAGUAUCGUCGUUACUCGUAUGUUCCGUAUUUUUCGUAUGUUUCGCACGUUUCGCAAGUUUCGUAUGUUUCGCAUGUUUCGUUACUUGUUCAGUACUAGUAACGAAACAUACGAGUAACGAAAUUAUUUGGGCAGUAUCUAACGUUUCGUUACUCGUUACUGAAGUGAAUACCCGCAUUUAAGUAACGAAUACAUACGGUUUUCUACAGCUCUACUUGUAAGCUAAUAAUUUGUUUUCAAUACUAAGUCUAGAAUGUUGUCCGAGCAACCAGUACAUUUUCCUGAAUGAACAUGAAAAUAUAUCUAAAAGAAAAAAAAUAUGUUUCUUCAGGUUUUUAAGAUUGAGUGGGGAUCUGGGAUACUUCUACUACCCAGCAAACGUAGAACUACAGAAAAAACCGGCGAAAUAUGUACGUAAAAGAAGUACUUCUUUUCCACUGAAAAAAGAUAGGAGCUCGAGAAAAAACUCAGUUAUAUACUUUCUGUAUAUAAGAAUACGUGAAGCAUCUAUCUCUUUCUUGCAUGCAAGAUGAAAUGAAUUUCCCCUCCAUUAAAAGUACAGACAAAUGUACUUCAAAACUACAUCAGCGAAGCACAUCUGGAAGUGCUUCUGAUGUACAUUUUCCAGUACUUUUUUAGCUACAGAAAAACCACUGAAACUCCAUAUGGCUCCUUGAAUCUAGAAGUACGUAAUUAAGUAGUGAAAUUUGUACGUAAGAGAAGUAGUUUGUUCCUAGUAAAUCUAAACCUUUUGAAACUACAAAUGAAAUUACAAAUAAACUCUGAAGUUAAAACUUUGGUUAGAGAUUUAGAUUUAUUCAGUCGAAUUGUAUAUCAAAACAUGAACGUCUUGUGUGACACUUUACUUCAGACUUGGCGAGGAAUGUUGGCGUUGAAAUUCUCUUAAAUCUUACAUCUACGUCAGGAAUUUUGGAAAUUCUUUAUCACUAAACGAAGGAGAGUCACUUCAUGCACACAACUGUUGAGGGGAACAAAAUGCUUUCCUCGCAAUGUAUUUGUAAUACGAACUUGCACAUCUUGAUUGCCACUCGAACGGACUGCAUCCAAUAGUGUGGCGAGCAAGGAGUCUCUAACGUCAUUUUUAUACUCGACAUAGAAUUGUUGAAUGUUGUUUUUGUCUAGGAUUUAGAGCGAACACAUCAACAAGUGGUCGGAGGGUGCAGACCUGAGAAAAAAAAAUAGUAACAUCAGCCUCACAAAGAGCAGAAUGGAAUCUCUUUAACUUACACUACAAGUCUGUGAAAUGUGGAUCACACUCAGUUAUUGUAGUCUCUACUAAACAUAAGAUUCGUUUCACUCGUUCUGGAUGGCGCACAGUGUGUCGAGCCCAUACAAAAGUUUAUCAUAAAUACUUGCAGCUAAGUUUUUGGAGUUUUAAUAUCUUUUUUUGUGUUUUUAUGGCAGGAAUAGAAAAAAAAAAUUACAAGUUAACAAAUUAAACAA